GACAUAGGUGGCAAACGUUAUCUGGAAUUAUUGGGCGUAAAGGGUGCGUAGAUGGUUUUACAAGUUAUCUGUAGAAAAUCAAGGCUCAACCUUGAGAAAGCAGAUAAUACUAUAAGACUAGAGUGUAGGAGAGGUUAACAGAAUUUCCUGUGGAGCAGUGAAAUGCGUAGAUAUAGGAAAGAAUACCAAUAAAGGCGAAGGCAGUUAACUAUUCUAUUUCUGACAUUGAGGCACGAAAGCGUGGGGAGCAAACAGG
rnacentral:rRNA from 1 species